rnacentral:lncRNA from 1 species
AUCGCCAUUCGCCAUCCCUAAACUAAACUCUCAAGUCUCAGUCAGCUCAGAGGCGUGCAGUGCAGUGUUAAGUGUGGGGUUUGAAUAUUGCUGACUAUUAGCUUCAACGUGUAUAAAAGAGAUGUUCAAGAAUGGUGCUGUACGUAAAUGUAGGGAGACUUUGGACUGUGGAUGAAGAGAUUUAACUGUUUUUGAAAAUGAAUUUACCUAAAUUAAUACUUAAAGUAAAACACUGACCAAAUGUUAGCAAAGCAUAAAAAGAUGAA